rnacentral:rRNA from 1 species
AUACGGAGGAUCCGAGCGUUAUCCGGAUUUAUUGGGUUUAAAGGGAGCGUAGGCGGACUAUUAAGUCAGCUGUGAAAGUUUGCGGCUCAACCGUAAAAUUGCAGUUGAUACUGGUCGUCUUGAGUGCAGUAGAGGUAGGCGGAAUUCGUGGUGUAGCGGUGAAAUGCUUAGAUAUCACGAAGAACUCCGAUUGCGAAGGCAGCUUACUGGACUGUAACUGACGCUGAUGCUCGAAAGUGUGGGUAUCAAGCAGGAUUAGAUACCCUGGUAGUCCACACAGUAAACGAUGAAUACUCGCUGUUUGCGAUAUACGGCAAGCGGCCAAGCGAAAGCAUUAAGUAUUCCACCUGGGGAGUACGCCGGCAACGGUGAAACUCAAAUGAAUUGACGGGG